GAUGAACGCUGGCGGCGUGCCUAAUACAUGCAAGUCGAGCGAACGGACGAGAAGCUUGCUUCUCUAAUGUUAGCGGCGGACGGGUGAGUAACACGUGGAUAACCUACCUAUAAGACUGGGAUAACUUCGGGAAACCGGAGCUAAUACCGGAGAAUAUUUUGAACCGCAUGGUUCAAAAGUGAAAGACGGUCUUGCUGUCACUUAUCGAUGGAUCCGCGCUGCAUUAGCUAGUUGGUAAGGUAACGGCUUACCAAGGCAACGAUGCAUAGCCGACCUGAGAGGGUGAUCGGCCACACUGGAACUGAGACACGGUCCAGACUCCUACGGGAGGCAGCAGUAGGGAAUCUUCCGCAAUGGGCGAAAGCCUGACGGAGCAACGCCGCGUGAGUGAUGAAGGUCUUCGGAUCGUAAAACUCUGUUAUUAGGGAAGAACAUAUGUGUAAGUAACUGUGCACAUCUUGACAGUACCUAAUCAGAAAGCCACGGCUAACUACGUG
rnacentral:rRNA from 1 species